UCCUAAAAUAUAAUUAGCAUUUACCACAGUUUGACCAGUUCAAUCAAAGCUCAUGAAUAUUUAAUGAGGCAGGCACUCUUCAGUUUAUGAUUGGUUGCCUGAUGCAAAACCUCCGCAGCGGCGCUUCAUAAACCUGGAUUGAAAGCUGCUCUUUUUAUUAUAAUUAAAAGUGCCCAACGUGUUUCUAAAAAUGACAUUUACACGUUUUAAACGCCUAUAAUCGCCGGAAGCUAUUGUAUUGUUCGUUAGUAUUUUGUUGUAUUGGGAUUUUGCUAAUUUGCGUAGCGGAACGUUGUUGUUAUGCUAACGGCCGCUGUCGCUAAUGUCGAAAAAAAAAAACAGAAAUUCGUGAAAACGACUGCCUUUGGAUCACUUUUCAUGGAAACAAUGGCCUCCUCUACACCCCUGCUAACUUUAAAAGAGCCUGGAACAAAAACGGGGGUCUGGGGCCCACGGAGGAGACUGACAGGUGAAAAGAGCGGUGCAUGGAGAAAGAAAACCAUCUGUGUGGUGCUUUAAAGAAGCCAGAAACUAACAUGCCGAUCUGAAGAACCUAUAAAUAUAACAUCAAGAACUUUUUUAAUGUCAGAAGAACUGGGUAUACAGUAGUUCAUAAGAAGGUGCUGCAAAAACUUUUUUUUUUUUAAAGAAUGUGGCCUUCAAAAAUAUGAAUUUUCAAUUUCAAGUUAUAUUUUUAUUACAGAAUUUGCAUGCAAAUUAAAGCAUUUUUUUACUUUUGUACCCCACUGUAUGUUUUGCACAUGCACAAACGUCCCAUCAGCAUUCAGAAAGCCUGUAAAUGUGAGUUGCAUGUGUUUUUUUUAACAGUUUAAGGACAAGUUUAGUUUUGUCAUAGAUUUUAUUAAGGUUAAUUAAAGCUGGAAUUACCUCUAAAACCUUAACUGAACCUUUCCCCGAGAGCUGUUUGUCAUCCUUUAGAUGUUAAUUACUCCAAAAAAAUGCAAGUAAAACUUUGAUACAAUAGAAAAUGCUCAGACAUGUUGGUCUUGAUAAUGAAGGUGUUUUGCUUGGCAGCCCUCAUUCUUUUACACAUUAACAAUAAGCCAUUCUUUUAAGAAAGCUAAUACUUAAGAGCCUUAUAAUUCAUAUUUGUGAUUAUUUGCAUUUACUAUAAGACAUAAAAAAUGCAUUCAUUCAGUGUGCCAGAAAGCUUAAUCAUAAUUAUGUUUCUAAUGAGUGUUUUGCCUGCUUGGAUCUGUGAGAAAUGCUCAUCAAUUAUGAUAAAAAAUAAAGGUUCUUCGGGUUCAGCAAAGAACUCUUCUUACAUUUUUGACUGUAUACUUUUUUUAAAUCGCUAUAUGGUGAUGAAGUUAAUGCAAUUGCAUUGUUGGUUGUUAAGCAUAUUUGGUUUCUUCACAACAGUAGUUCCCAGUCCUGGUUCUGAAGAGCUGCACAUUUUGGAUAUUUAGCUUAUUUAACUCCCCCGAUUUAUAUCCUGAGCUUAUUAGUAGGGGCUCUGAAUUGGGUGUGUCAGAUAAGGCAGACCAGGAUUAAGAACCACUGCUUUAAAACACCAGUUUCUUUUAGAGGAUACAAAGCACAUUGCAUGAGUCCAAAAUCAUCUUUUUUGUGGCGUCACAAUAUAAAAUAACGAUUCUGAUGAUUGC